rnacentral:rRNA from 1 species
AGCCAUGCGAGUCAUUGUAGUAAUACAAGGCAGACGGCUCAGUAACGCGUAGUCAACCUAACCUAUGGACGGGGAUAAUCUCGGGAAACUGAGCAUAAUACCCGAUAGAACAUUAUGCCUGGAAUGGUUUAUGUUCCAAAUGAUUUAUCGCCGUAGGAUGGGACUGCGGCCUAUCAGUUUGUUGGUGAGGUAAUGGCCCACCAAGACUAUUACAGGUACGGGCUCUGAGAGGAGUAGCCCGGAGAUGGGUACUGAGACACGGACCCAGGCCCUAUGGGGCGCAGCAGGCGGGAAAACUUUGCAAUGUGCGAAAGCACGACAAGGUUAAUCCGAGUGGUUUCUGCUAAAGGAACCUUUUGACAGUCCUAGAAACACUGUUGAAUAAGGGGUGGGCAAGUUCUGGUGUCAGCCGCCGCGGUAAAACCGGCACCUCAAGUGGUCAGGAUGAUUAUUGGGCCUAAAGCAUCCGUAGCCGGCUCUGUAAGUUUUCGGUUAAAUCUGUACGCUCAACGUACAGGCUGCCGGGAAUACUGCAGAGCUAGGGAGUGGGAGAGGUAGACGGUACUCGGUAGGAAGGGGUAAAAUCCUUUGAUCUAUUGAUGACCACCUGUGGCGAAGGCGGUCUACCAGAACACGUCCGACGGUGAGGGAUGAAAGCUGGGGGAGCAAACCGGAUUAGAUACCCGGGUAGUCCCAGCUGUAAACCAUGCAAACUCAGUGAUGCAUUGGCUUGUGGCCAAUGCAGUGCUGCAGGGAAGCCGUUAAGUUUGCCGCCUGGGAAGUACGUACGCAAGUAUGAAACUUAAAAGGAAUUGGCGGGG